AUUGAACGCUGGCGGCAUGCCUUACACAUGCAAGUCGAACGGCAGCACGGGAGCAAUCCUGGUGGCGAGUGGCGAACGGGUGAGUAAUAUAUCGGAACGUGCCCAGUCGUGGGGAUAACGUAGCGAAAGCUACGCUAAUACCGCAUACGAUCUAUGGAUGAAAGCGGGGGAUCGCAAGACCUCGCGCGAUUGGAGCGGCCGAUAUCAGAUUAGGUAGUUGGUGAGGUAAAGGCUCACCAAGCCGACGAUCUGUAGCUGGUCUGAGAGGACGACCAGCCACACUGGGACUGAGACACGGCCCAGACUCCUACGGGAGCAGCAGUGGGAAUUUUGGACAAUGGCGCAAGCCUGAUCAGCAAUGCCGCGUGCAGGAUGAAGGCCUU
rnacentral:rRNA from 1 species